UUUCCAGCUACCACUAUGGUAAGUAAUGAGUUAAUACUCAUGACAAAUACAAGUGUUAAGUUUGCUCAGUGUUUUUCCCUUUUUAGAGAUGGACUCUAGUAAUGUGGGAAUCCACUCCAUCACUUACAGGCUGUGUGCUUUGGGACAAACCACAUAACCUCUAGGAGCCUCAGGCUGCUUAUCUCGGGACUGUUGUGAGGAUUAGACAUGAUCCUGUGGGUGAAGCUCCUACCUGGCGCCGUGCCUGGCACUCUCUCUGUGCCCCAGUCACAGUCACUGCAAGGCAGAGUCCCUCCCUUCUAAGCAGAGGCCCAGAGCUUGCUAGCCUCCUCAGGGGUUGGCCAAGUUCUGCUGUGGCCAUUAGUCUUCCACUUCUGCUCCAUGCCCUUCAUCUCCUGUAGUUACCUUGCCCUUUUGGCUGAGGGACGGGCUCACCUCAAACCAAUGUAAGUUGUUUAUUUAUUUAUUUUUAUGUUUUCUUUUUGGCUGCACCGAGUGGCUGGCGGGAUCUUAGUUCCCUGACCAGGGAUUUCACCACAGUGAAAGCGCUGAGUCCUAACCACUGGACCACCAGGGAAUUCUCUAAUCAAUUACCCCUCUGGGACAGUUUAGUAAAUGGAAAGCCAGUGGACAAAUGACAGAAGACCAGAAGUUUAUUCUCUGGAGACAUGGGCUCAGAGCGGCACUGGACUCGGGGACACCAGGCCCAGGAAGCUACUGGCGAAUACCCUCCCUUAAGUGUAGCUGUAGUGGGCCUCGAGGACAACCCAAUACAGAUGGAAACAGAG